CAAUCUUCCUGUUGCCCAUAAACCAUAGUAUGCAUACCAGGGACACAAGAUACUCUCUCAUUAUGCAAAGCACAAGGCACUGUCUCUUUUUCUGCUAUGAAACGCUGGAGGAGAUCUGUGUGUACACGAAGGGUCCAUACUAUCUCUCUUUAUGGACAAAAUCCAUAAAAAAAAAUACACUUUCUCAAUGGAAAUUUUAUUUUACACUGCAGAAAGCACUUUAAGGUUCCAACUCCAGCAACAAGCAACUCAUGAUGCACCAUAAAAGAUGACAAUCUGAUAUGGGACAAAUAAGUAUUAAAAGUUUUUUUUGGUUUAUUCCAACGAGCGUGUGAACUAAUUAAACCAUGUGUUCACAGACAAAAAAUCCGGUUACAGCAUCAUCCACUUUAUUAAAAUUAGAGCCUCCAUAAA